UAAACUUAAAACCCGAGAUAGAAAUCAGAACAUCAAGCACGAAACCGCGCACCUUACAAGAAGCACAAGGUGCCGCGUUCGAAGCAGAACUAUUAAUCGGAGAAAUUGAGCGAAACCGCGGAAAUCAGCGCAGCCAGCAAAUAAGAGCUCACUCAUUCACCCGAGGGAAUGUAUCGUCACAACGCAACCCCCCACUUAGGAGCGGUCCGAUGACUACGCUCAAUCGCCUGCCGACAAGCACUCAAAUAAACAACGUGCAACCAAAUAGGACAUACCGCAAAUUACUGCCGAAAUUUUCAACCGGCCAGCCAGCGAAAUCUUCC
rnacentral:misc_RNA from 1 species